GCAUGGGAUAAUCAGAGCCAAUACCAGUUCACUGUUGACCUCUGCUUGCUUUAUUUGUUGUAAAAUAAGCUGUUUCUUCAUCUGCUCAGCUUCAGAGCUUGGAUAGAAAGGCUCCAAGAUUCCCCAUCCUUCAAGCCUGCGUAAUGGUCCACAGCCUGCAUUGAAUCCAUGGGGCCUGACUAGCAAGGAACUGAGAACUCAGCUCCUCCAGAAGCCUUCUCAUAUUUCUGCUGCUCUUGCACCAGAAACCAGUCUUAUGAGAAAGGAAAAAAACCUCAACAAUGCAGAGCAUCCAAAUCUCCUUUAAAGAAAAGUCACCCUCUCAAAGCUGGGGAAAUCAAGAAAAAAUCUAAGACCUUUCUGUUUGGAGUAUGCUGCUAAAGCCAGAAUCAUGAAACAGAACUGUGAUGGCAGCACUACAGAGCACGCUGUACUGGGAAGAGCUUGAGGCAAGACAGCGGGUGAGAUGGAUCAUUGAACUGAUCAGAUAUGGCAAUUCCUGUGUUUUCUGUGUGCUCAAGGACGACAUAAUUUUAACCAAGCAUAAACAUUUUACAGCUGGCUGCUACAAAUCUGUUUUAUUUGUUUAGGAGUUAGGGAAGAAGGUAUGUUUCUCAAAGGUUGUGGGGAUAGUCUAUAGUAUGGACACAUAAAGUGUUGAUGGAUUUGUAUUUAGCUGAGAGCUUGUAGCAGGCAUUUCAUUGAGGAACAGAGCUCAGAGCAUGAUAAUACUUUGUAAGAAUGAAUAUGUGUUGCCUCUGGUUUUCACAGGAGUUGCCAUGAUUAAACACAUCACUGUCCUGUAGAGCUCAUUUCAAAUAUGUGACUGGAGUCUGUUAGGUACCUUAUUUCACCUGGCAUUCAACAUUUUUAGGCACUUUGUUCCUUACUAGGUGCCGCAAUUUCAUUUAUCUUUGAGUUGUAAGUUCUUCUGAAUAACAAAGAGAAAUACUUUCUUCCAGUAAUUCUACUGAUUAAAUGUUGUUUCCUCAAAUAUUUCCCAGAUUUUAGAAGAGCUAGUAGCCACUGUUUCAGUAAGAAGAAAUAUUUUAUUUUCAUGUCUGCAAGCUCUGUGAGCCUCAGUGAUCUAAUCCUAGUAAAACAUGCAUAAUGAAGCACAUAGAUGGUUUGAUUGUUUUCCUUUAAUACUUUUUUUGAUCGCUGUUACAAAACUCAUUGCUUUAGCUGUGAUCUCUUUUCCCCAGCAAGAUGCUAGCUAUAAAAUGAGAAGGUAGAAACAAGAGCCUGUUGAUGGAUUAAACUAUAAAUGCAAGUGAUAGCAACACUUUUAACAAAAAGCCUGUUAACUACCCUUUAAAUUUAAUCUUGGCACUUUGUAGAGUCAGAAAUUCAGAGAGAGAAGUAUUCAACAGCCAGAGGGGAUGUAGAAACAAACUAGCUGUGACAGAGACCUGAUGCAGAUAGGUGUGACCUGGAGGUGAGGAGCCUGCUGGCACGAAGGCUGGCCAAGCCCUGGAGAGGACAGCCUCCGUCCACCAGCUUGCAAAAGGGGUUACGUGCCAAGGGCCUCUCCCACAGCUUCUGCUGAAGAACUCUUAACAGUGAUGGCAAAAGCAGACUUUUUAGAUUCACGUGGAUUCGCAUUCGUUACAUAAUGCACCCAUGCUUUAUGUUUUCUCAAGGAUUAUGAAAGAAAAGCAUUUGACUUCCUCGGGUUUCCAGUGAUGUUCACAUCCCUCUGGGCUGUUUGAAAUGCUUGAUUGAGAUCAUAUGGUGUGCUUACAGAUGUGGUAUGUUUAUUCAGUAGCGUGUAUGUAUUUAAAGUCAACUUGUGUGCAUUCCAGUUUGUAUAAAUACAUGUAAAGAUAUCUAGAAAUAUAUAAAUGUAUUUAUAUAAAACUAGAUCACUCUGUAUCUCCCAAGGACAAAUGUCUCAUUUUGACACGUUAUGCUAGGUACUUCUGUUGUGACAUGGUGUUAGCCUUCAUGUCACUGUUGCUUAUCAUCUUUUGCACUCAGUCCACCUUCCAGCUAAACUGGAAGGAAGUAUUGAGUUUGAGGUACAAUAAAUGCUAGACAUUUGUGGGAUGACA
ensembl:lncRNA